CUUCCUCUCAGUUCUCCUCACCUCGUCACCUACCUUCACUGCCCUUAUCACUUCACUGUCUCCCCACUUCUCCCUGUGGCCACAAGCCCACAACUCUCUCUCUACCUCCUCAGGUCGCCCCUCCUCUUCGUCUCCACAGCCGACGUGAGGUCUCGCACCCCCUCUCCCCACUCUUCUCCGCACUUCCUCGUCGAAUCGGUCUCUGAAGUGCCCGAGGAUCCGCUCGAUCUCGGCAUGUUCGCUGGCUGACCCAGUGCUAGGCGUGGACGAAGGCCGACGCGGAGGCGCGGGACUCGUCUCCACCAGAUCGGCAGCCGUGGCAAUCAUGCAUCCGGAGCUCUGCGGCCCGGCUCCGUGCCUUCCUCUCCGUCUCGCUCGCCCGACGCUUGGAGCGUCUGCUCGUCGUCGGCUCCCACCACCCUAUGCGUGCGGCUGUGCUGUGCCCUGCCCUGCCCAGGUGCGGCAGUAGUGCCGCGGUGGCUGGUCCCCUGCAACUGCAAGCCGGCGCCGGUUGAUGAUCUAUUCCCCACUCCAGCUUUCAUAUAUUCUUAGUUCUGAUUUGAGGCAUACAAGGAAUGGAUAUUGAAGACCAUGGAAGAGUCGUCGAAUUUGUUCCAUCAUAAAUUUUUGGAACUCUGGAUAAACAGAAAGAUGUGAAUGGGGAGGCAUACCUGCCUGCCAUAUACAUCAACCCGAAGCUUUUGAGCGUUGUACAGAAGAAGUACUUGACAGUUUUACUUCAUGAUAGUCUUGGAUUUUGUUCGGUCAGAAUGAUCAGAUUGGCAAGGCUUUCGGGUGAGGUCAGUUACAUACUGAAGAGCAUGCACCUGUGUUGGCGACGAGCUCGUCAGCGCGGCCGUGGACGGGCGCCUGUCUAUAAGUCUAUGAGGAGUUUGAUAUUUACAGAGAAAGUCGACCCCUAAAAAUGAAGUUCUUCAACUGAAGACUUUGAUAUUCUGAAGACUUUCUGAAGACUUUGAAAGUGAAGAAAUUGGUGUGACCUUGAAGACUUGGUAUUCAUUUGUGGAACAUGAAGUGUGAAGACUAUUGUUUUCGUAGUUUCGUUUUCUCUUUCUUGAGUCAUAGGAAACACCGUACUGUUAAAGGGGGUCGAGGAAAUACUAAGGAAAAAUUUCCAUGUGAUGCUCAACUCAAAAUCCUACACCUACCAAUCCCUUCGAGUGAAGCCUUUGGAAAUCUCAUACAGUUCAGUCACUUUCUUCAGUGACAGAGACGAAGUUCUUCUGGUCACUGAUGAAUUUGUUCUGACUGAGGAGUUAGGAAUUCGCCAGUACGAAUUACCUACACAGUGAGGAACAUGAUAGCCUUGAGGAAUUUGAGAGUCAAAUUUCCGACCGUUGCUGUGCUGCGCGCCAGCUGUCUCAAAAUAUCUUAUCCACCUAACGGUCAUAUCAUUGAGGGGCAUUUAUGUCUUAUCAUGUCGGGCUGCUCCCUAGGCUAUAAAUAGCCGCCCCCUACAACCACUAGCUGGUUGGCUGCUCCGAGAGAACUUGACACUUGUCAUUUGAGAGCAACCCAUCCUCCGAGGACUUUGAGCGAAAAUCAUCAAGUGAGGAAAACCCAAAACCAAACCCCUACAAACCCAAAGUGAUUGAGCAUCACUGAAGAAAUUGAUCCUGCGUGGAUCCGACGCUUGUUACCUUUGAAGACUGUGCUUCUUCCAGACGGUUAGGCGUCAAGGUCUAGAGCAUCCAAGAGGAAUUGUGGAUCGCCGAGUGACCAAGUCUGUGAAGGUUUGGAAGUCGCCUAAAGACUUACCAUGAGUGAUUGGACGAGGUCUGCGUGACCUUAGUUCAAGGAGAAUACGGUGAGGACUGGGUGUCCUGAGCUGCGUGCUCAGCGACUGGGUGUCCGGGACUGUGUGUCCUUGAGUUUAAAUACUCAGCCGCUCCAACCAGACGUACAACUGAGACAGCAGUUGGAACUGGUCUACCAAAUUAUUAUCUUCA
rnacentral:rRNA from 1 species